GGCGGUAUAGCCAAGUGGUAAGGCAGAGGAUUGCAAAUUCUUUAUCCCCAGUUCAAAUCUGGGUGCCGCCU
rnacentral:tRNA from 2 species